rnacentral:rRNA from 1 species
AACGAACGCUGGCGGCAUGCCUAACACAUGCAAGUCGAACGAUACCUCCGCGUCUAGUUGCGCACGGGUGCGUAACGCGCGGGAAGGUGCCCUAAGGUUCGGAAUACUUCCCCGUAAUGGGGGCUAACACCGGGAAAUUUCUGCUGACCCAAGAUUUAUCGCCUUUGUAUGAGCCCGAGUUGGAUAAGCUUGUGGUUAGGGUAAGAGCCUACCAAGGCGACGAUCCAUAGCUGGGGACAGAGGAUGAUCAGCCACACUGGGACUGGGACACGGCCCGGAGUACUACGGGAGGAAGCGGGGGGGAAUACUGGACAAUGGGCGAGAGACUGAUGGAGCAAUGCCGGGUGAGUGAUUAUGGCGUUAGGGAAGUAAAGCUGUUUUAUCCGGGAUUGUAAUGACGGUACCGGGAGAAUAAGCGCCGGCUAACUCCGUG